rnacentral:rRNA from 1 species
CAGCGGCAGACGGGUGAGUAACACGUAGGUGAUCUACCCCAGAGACGGGGAUAACGGGUGGAAACAUCCGCUAAUACCGGAUAGGCUUGUUCGGUCAAAGGGACAAGGAAAGGCUCCGGCGCUCUGGGAGGAGCCUGCGGCCCAUCAGCUAGUUGGCGGGGUAACGGCCCACCAAGGCAAAGACGGGUAGGGGGUGUGAGAGCAUGGCCCCCCACAAUGGGACUGGAACACGGCCCAUACUCCUACGGGAGGCAGCAGCAGGGAAUAUUGCACAAUGGACGGAAGUCUGAUGCAGCGACGCCGCGUGGAUGAAGAAGGCCCUCGGGUUGUAAAAUCCUUUACAGGGGGAAGAGGAAGGACGGUACCCCUGGAACAAGUGUCGGCUAACUACGUGCCAGCAGCCGCGGUAAGACGUAGGACACAAGCGUUAUCCGGAUUUACUGGGCGUAAAGCGUCUGCAGGCGGACAGGUAAGUUGGGCGUGAAAGCUCCGGGCCCAACCCGGAGAGGUCGUUCAAUACUGCGUGUCUAGAGGGUGUCAGAGGGGAGUGGAAUUUCCGGAGUAGCGGUAAAAUGCGCAGAGAUCGGAAAGAACACCAAUGGCGAAGGCAGCUCCCUGGGGCAACCCUGACGCUAAGAGACGAAAGCUAGGGGAGCGAACAGGAUUAGAGACCCUGGUAGUCCUAGCCCUAAACGAUGGAUGCUGGAUGUGGGGCCAUAGCGCUCCGUGUCGAAGCGAACGCG